rnacentral:lncRNA from 1 species
UUUUUGCCUCUGUGAAGUUUUUACAAAAUAUAUAUUCUAGCAAUAUUUUAGAAUACAAAAUAUAUCCAAAGAGAACUAUGUGUAAAAGAGCUAAGAUAAUUUUUUUAUGAAAUUAUGGCCAACUCCAGAGAUAUGAAAAAGCAGUAGAUAGAGCUAACACAAUGUCUAGCUUAUGAAAAACCAGAUAUAGAAUGUAUUCUAACUUAAUAACUAAAAAAUUCUGCCUCUAGCUUUAUCUGAAGUAGAAUUUUGUAACAGUUCCAUGCAUGUAAUUUGGAAAUCUGAUUUUUCACUCCCAAACCAGCACAAAUCUGCAUUUCACAAUAGCUAUCUUUUAUAUUAUACUCUGAAAAAUUAUGUAAAUCCUAACUUCGAUUUUAGAGAUGGUUUGGCUAGAACAAGUUUACUGCAUAAACUGCAGAUACAGCAAUUUGUUUUUUAAUACUUCUUUACCUCUAAUAAAAUGACUGAGAAUGAUUCUUAGGUCACCUAUUAUUAUAUGCUGAAAUCUGCAUGUG